rnacentral:rRNA from 1 species
AAUAUUGGACAAUGGGCGAAAGCCUGAUCCAGCCAUGCCGCGUGUGUGAAGAAGGUCUUCGGGUUGUAAAGCACUUUUGGCAGGGAAGAAAAGCCGCGGGUUAAUACCCUGCGGUGCUGACGGUACCUGCAGAAUAAGCACCGGCUAACCACGUGGCAGCAGCCGCGGUAAUACGUAGGGUGCAAGCGUUAAUCGGAAUUACUUGGCGUAAAGCGUGCGCAGGCGGUUCGGCAAGAAGGAUGUGAAAUCCCGGGGCUUAACCUCGGAACUGCAUUCUUAACUGCCGGGCUAGAGUAUGUCAGAGGGGGGUAGAAUUCCGCGUGUAGCAGUGAAAUGCGUAGAGAUGCGGAGGAAUACCGAUGGCGAAGGCAGCCCCCUGGGAUAAUACUGACGCUCAUGCACGAAAGCGUGGGGAGCAAACA